rnacentral:rRNA from 1 species
UACGAAGGGGGCUAGCGUUGCUCGGAAUUACUGGGCGUAAAGGGAGCGUAGGCGGAUAGUUUAGUCAGAGGUGAAAGCCCAGGGCUCAACCUUGGAAUUGCCUUUGAUACUGGCUAUCUUGAGUACGGAAGAGGUAUGUGGAACUCCGAGUGUAGAGGUGAAAUUCGUAGAUAUUCGGAAGAACACUAGUGGCGAAGGCGACAUACUGGUCCGUUACUGACGCUGAGGCUCGAAAGCGUGGGGAGCAAACAGG